rnacentral:misc_RNA from 1 species
AACGCACAUUGCGCCUUCUAUAACAGGAAGGCAUGCCUGUCUGAGCGUCAUUUAAACAAAUGGACUAACCUCCGUAUUGGAUGUUCGCCUAAUGCGUCAUCUUAAAAAUAUUAGCUUUAUGAGCGGAUGAGAUCCAUUAGGACUAGUCCCUUCAAAUAGCUUCCUUUUCUCUGAAUUUGACCUCAGAUCAGGUAGGAUUACCGCCUGAACUUAA